UACGUAGGGUGCAGGCGUUAAUCGGAAUUACUGGGCGUAAAGCGUGCGCAGGCGGCUCCUUAAGUCAGAUGUGAAAUCCCCGGGCUUAACCUGGGAACUGCGUUUGAAACUGGGGAGCUAGAGUGUAGAAGAGGGGGGUGGAAUUCCAGGUGUAGCAGUGAAAUGCGUAGAGAUCUGGAGGAACACCGAUGGCGAAGGCAGCCCCCUGGGCUAACACUGACGCUCAUGCGCGAAAGCGUGGGGAGCAAACAGG
rnacentral:rRNA from 1 species